rnacentral:lncRNA from 1 species
UGCACUUAUGUGGGUGGUUUCUUUCAGCUCUUCUGGUCCUCCUUUGAUGGCUGACUCCUGUCACUUAGGAUCAAGACACAAAUCUCAGUGACACCGGCAUAAACAAGCUGACAGGAGGAUACGGUUUAAGAAUUUACAAGAUUUCUAACUGCCAAUAGGCCAGACAUCCUCAGGCAAGCACCUUCUCUCCCUGUAGGCAAGGUAAG